GAUGAACGCUAGCUACAGGCUUAACACAUGCAAGUCGAGGGGCAGCGGGAUUGAAGCUUGCUUCAAUCGCCGGCGACCGGCGCACGGGUGAGUAACGCGUAUCCAACCUUCCGUACACUCAGGGAUAGCCUUUCGAAAGAAAGAUUAAUACCUGAUGGUAUGAUGAGAUUGCAUGAUAGCAUCAUUAAAGAUUUAUCGGUGUACGAUGGGGAUGCGUUCCAUUAGGUAGUAGGCGGGGUAACGGCCCACCUAGCCAACGAUGGAUAGGGGUUCUGAGAGGAAGGUCCCCCCANAUUGGAACUGAGACACGGUCCAAACUCCUACGGGAGGCAGCAGUGAGGAAUAUUGGUCAAUGGACGAGAGUCUGAACCAGCCAAGUAGCGUGAAGGAUGAAGGUCCUACGGAUUGUAAACUUCUUUAUACGGGAAUAAAGUAUCCUACGUGUAGGAUUUUGUAUGUACCGUAUGAAUAAGCAUCGCCUAACUCCGUGCCAGCAG
rnacentral:rRNA from 1 species